rnacentral:rRNA from 1 species
GACGAACGCUGGCGGCGUGCUUAACACAUGCAAGUCGAACGGUGAACCGGGCUUCGGCCCGGGGAUCAGUGGCGAACGGGUGCGUAACACGUGGGCAACCUGCCCCAGACUCUGGGAUAACUCCGGGAAACCGGGGCGUAAUACCGGAUACUCCGAUCGGACGACAUCGUCUGACCGGGAAAGCUCCGACGGUCUGGGAUGGGCCCGCGGCCUAUCAGCUUGUUGGCGAGGUAACGGCUCACCAAGGCGACGACGGGUAGCUGGUCUGAGAGGACGACCAGCCACACUGGAACUGAGAUACGGUCCAGACUCCUACGGGAGGCAGCAGUGGGGAAUCUUGCACAAUGGGCGAAAGCCUGAUGCAGCGACGCCGCGUGGGGAUGAAUGCCUUCGGGUUGUAAACCCCUUCGGUCAGGGAAGAAGCGCAAGUGACGGUACCUGCAGAAGAA